UUGUAAUUAGCUCAAAAAUAAUAACGGAAAUCCAAACAAAAGAGGGUAAUGAGGUCCCCAUCACCAUUAACAUUCCAAAUUUAACGGACUUCCCUCCGUGGGCCGGGUCGGUGUUAGAAUCAUUCCAUAGCAAAACAAAAUCCUUCUGGUGCGGCUCAUUUCACCUGGAGCCUUAGCCUUAAGCCUCACAGAGUUGACUCCACGCCCUUCAACUGUUCGACAAAUCGCCCGAGUGAAACUCCACCACCCAUGUUUCCGAAGCAACUCCGCACCCUUGGCACAGCCGCCGCAGUACUCCUCGGCGGAUUCUUCACGCUCAACCUGGCUUCCACUGCCACAAUCGGAGCCCUCCGGUUCGCCGCCGAAUCCAAACGGAUUAAAUUUCAAGAACCCGGAUCAUUUGAUCAUCGAACUUUUAACGAAGAGAUGCGAAGAAGAUCUCUUCCCACCUACCAGCACCCUCCUCGACGUGGCAGUCUCUCCUUAGUUCCCUCCUUGUCAUCGGAAUGAAUCAUCAGUGGCCCACGCACACCUCGGCUCAGAUGCUAACUUGCGCCGGUGUCGAUAUUCAAUCUUCCACGUUUGAGAAUCUAAAUAAAUAAAAAAUACGAUUAGGAUUAGGAUUAUGAUUCGAAGAAAAUGUACUGGGUUGCAAUAUGUAUAUGCUUCUUUUUGUUUUUCAUAAAGCACAACCCGUUUGUUCAUGAUUUAUGCCUCUUCCCUACUUCUCAAGCUUCAUUUUUACAUAUUUUAAAAUUUU